rnacentral:rRNA from 1 species
UUCAACGGCCAUUCCACGUUGUACACACCGGUUCUUCCGUUCAAUCACCGAAUUUAAGGAACGAAAGGGAGUUAGUAGCUAGAUGGGAGACCAGCCAGGGAACGCGUCCUGCUGUUGGUG